GGUUAAGCGACUAAGCGUACACGGUGGAUGCCCUGGCAGUCAGAGGCGAUGAAGGACGUGCUAAUCUGCGAUAAGCGUCGGUAAGGUGAUAUGAACCGUUAUAACCGGCGAUUUCCGAAUGGGGAAACCCAGUGUGUUUCGACACACUAUCAUUAACUGAAUCCAUAGGUUAAUGAGGCGAACCGGGGGAACUGAAACAUCUAAGUACCCCGAGGAAAAGAAAUCAACCGAGAUUCCCCCAGUAGCGGCGAGCGAACGGGGAGCAGCCCAGAGCCUGAAUCAGUGUGUGUGUUAGUGGAAGCGUCUGGAAAGGCGCGCGAUACAGGGUGACAGCCCCGUACACAAAAAUGCACAUGCUGUGAGCUCGAUGAGUAGGGCGGGACACGUGGUAUCCUGUCUGAAUAUGGGGGGACCAUCCUCCAAGGCUAAAUACUCCUGACUGACCGAUAGUGAACCAGUACCGUGAGGGAAAGGCGAAAAGAACCCCGGCGAGGGGAGUGAAAAAGAACCUGAAACCGUGUACGUACAAGCAGUGGGAGCACGCUUAGGCGUGUGACUGCGUACCUUUUGUAUAAUGGGUCAGCGACUUAUAUUCUGUAGCAAGGUUAACCGAAUAGGGGAGCCGAAGGGAAACCGAGUCUUAACUGGGCGUUAAGUUGCAGGGUAUAGACCCGAAACCCGGUGAUCUAGCCAUGGGCAGGUUGAAGGUUGGGUAACACUAACUGGAGGACCGAACCGACUAAUGUUGAAAAAUUAGCGGAUGACUUGUGGCUGGGGGUGAAAGGCCAAUCAAACCGGGAGAUAGCUGGUUCUCCCCGAAAGCUAUUUAGGUAGCGCCUCGUGAAUUCAUCUCCGGGGGUAGAGCACUGUUUCGGCAAGGGGGUCAUCCCGACUUACCAACCCGAUGCAAACUGCGAAUACCGGAGAAUGUUAUCACGGGAGACACACGGCGGGUGCUAACGUCCGUCGUGAAGAGGGAAACAACCCAGACCGCCAGCUAAGGUCCCAAAGUCAUGGUUAAGUGGGAAACGAUGUGGGAAGGCCCAGACAGCCAGGAUGUUGGCUUAGAAGCAGCCAUCAUUUAAAGAAAGCGUAAUAGCUCACUGGUCGAGUCGGCCUGCGCGGAAGAUGUAACGGGGCUAAACCAUGCACCGAAGCUGCGGCAGCGACGCUGAUGCGUUGUUGGGUAGGGGAGCGUUCUGUAAGCCUGCGAAGGUGUGCUGUGAGGCAUGCUGGAGGUAUCAGAAGUGCGAAUGCUGACAUAAGUAACGAUAAAGCGGGUGAAAAGCCCGCUCGCCGGAAGACCAAGGGUUCCUGUCCAACGUUAAUCGGGGCAGGGUGAGUCGACCCCUAAGGCGAGGCCGAAAGGCGUAGUCGAUGGGAAACAGGUUAAUAUUCCUGUACUUGGUGUUACUGCGAAGGGGGGACGGAGAAGGCUAUGUUGGCCGGGCGACGGUUGUCCCGGUUUAAGCGUGUAGGCUGGUUUUCCAGGCAAAUCCGGAAAAUCAAGGCUGAGGCGUGAUGACGAGGCACUACGGUGCUGAAGCAACAAAUGCCCUGCUUCCAGGAAAAGCCUCUAAGCAUCAGGUAACAUCAAAUCGUACCCCAAACCGACACAGGUGGUCAGGUAGAGAAUACCAAGGCGCUUGAGAGAACUCGGGUGAAGGAACUAGGCAAAAUGGUGCCGUAACUUCGGGAGAAGGCACGCUGAUAUGUAGGUGAGGUCCCUCGCGGAUGGAGCUGAAAUCAGUCGAAGAUACCAGCUGGCUGCAACUGUUUAUUAAAAACACAGCACUGUGCAAACACGAAAGUGGACGUAUACGGUGUGACGCCUGCCCGGUGCCGGAAGGUUAAUUGAUGGGGUUAGCGCAAGCGAAGCUCUUGAUCGAAGCCCCGGUAAACGGCGGCCGUAACUAUAACGGUCCUAAGGUAGCGAAAUUCCUUGUCGGGUAAGUUCCGACCUGCACGAAUGGCGUAAUGAUGGCCAGGCUGUCUCCACCCGAGACUCAGUGAAAUUGAACUCGCUGUGAAGAUGCAGUGUACCCGCGGCAAGACGGAAAGACCCCGUGAACCUUUACUAUAGCUUGACACUGAACAUUGAGCCUUGAUGUGUAGGAUAGGUGGGAGGCUUAGAAGUGUGGACGCCAGUCUGCAUGGAGCCGACCUUGAAAUACCACCCUUUAAUGUUUGAUGUUCUAACGUUGACCCGUAAUCCGGGUUGCGGACAGUGUCUGGUGGGUAGUUUGACUGGGGCGGUCUCCUCCUAAAGAGUAACGGAGGAGCACGAAGGUUGGCUAAUCCUGGUCGGACAUCAGGAGGUUAGUGCAAUGGCAUAAGCCAGCUUGACUGCGAGCGUGACGGCGCGAGCAGGUGCGAAAGCAGGUCAUAGUGAUCCGGUGGUUCUGAAUGGAAGGGCCAUCGCUCAACGGAUAAAAGGUACUCCGGGGAUAACAGGCUGAUACCGCCCAAGAGUUCAUAUCGACGGCGGUGUUUGGCACCUCGAUGUCGGCUCAUCACAUCCUGGGGCUGAAGUAGGUCCCAAGGGUAUGGCUGUUCGCCAUUUAAAGUGGUACGCGAGCUGGGUUUAGAACGUCGUGAGACAGUUCGGUCCCUAUCUGCCGUGGGCGCUGGAGAACUGAGGGGGGCUGCUCCUAGUACGAGAGGACCGGAGUGGACGCAUCACUGGUGUUCGGGUUGUCAUGCCAAUGGCACUGCCCGGUAGCUAAAUGCGGAAGAGAUAAGUGCUGAAAGCAUCUAAGCACGAAACUUGCCCCGAGAUGAGUUCUCCCUGAC
rnacentral:rRNA from 1 species